rnacentral:lncRNA from 1 species
GCGUCCCCAGCAUCCUGACCUAUCACUUGGGCAACCAUCCGGCCAGCUGACCACACAGCUUGAAAGUGAGCUGACCCGACAGACGGACCAAGACACUUUCCUCAACGACUCAAGUGAACACCGUGUGGAUGAAAACACAGACAUCGGUGUGGCAGCCUGGCCUGGGGUACAGGAACAGUGGCCUGAAAAGCACGCAUGUGGUGGAAAUCUUGCCCAACUGCUAGGAUGGACCANUGCCUUGAAGGAGCCUCUAGUUGGCUUCAGGAUGUGCAUGUGUACGAAGCUCAGUCCCCAUGCAAACCUCUCUGUAAGUUAGAGGCUGCAGGGCUCGGCGCUCACUCACUUGGCUUGGGCCAGCACUCCGAUGACCUCUGCGUACAGAUCUGCUACAAUGUGCAUGUUGCCGGUGUUGGGACCCAGGUACCUGAGUGAAACGGAAUUAGACAAGUUAGGUGGCCGGAAAAGACCGAUGAGCUAACGCUGAAGCAAGCAUUCGACUUUGUCAAUACUCUAAGGAGAGACAUCAGCUUACCCUUCUUUGUACUUAAAGUGCUUGAAAGCCAAGUUAAUAAUAUCGUGUACUAAGCCGUCUAUUACAGGAUGAAGGGGGAUCUGGGAAAAAAAAAAAA